GAUGAACGCUGGCGGCGUGCCUAAUACAUGCAAGUCGAGCGAAUGGAUUAAGAGCUUGCUCUUAUGAAGUUAGCGGCGGACGGGUGAGUAACACGUGGGUAACCUGCCCAUAAGACUGGGAUAACUCCGGGAAACCGGGGCUAAUACCGGAUAACAUUUUGAACCGCAUGGUUCGAAAUUGAAAGGCGGCUUCGGCUGUCACUUAUGGAUGGACCCGCGUCGCAUUAGCUAGUUGGUGAGGUAACGGCUCACCAAGGCAACGAUGCGUAGCCGCCUUGGGAGGGUGAUCGGCCACACUGGGACUGAGACACGGCCCAGCCUCCUACGGGAGGCAGCAGUAGGGAAUCUUCCGCAAUGGACGAAAGUCUGACGGAGCAACGCCGCGUGAGUGAUGAAGGCUUUCGGGUCGUAAAACUCUGUUGUUAGGGAAGAACAAGUGCUAGUUGAAUAAGCUGGCACCUUGACGGUACCUAACCAGAAAGCCACGGCUAACUACGUGCCAGCCGCCGCCGUAA
rnacentral:rRNA from 1 species